rnacentral:rRNA from 1 species
UAGAUAAGCGCUGAAAGCAUCUAAGCGCCAAGCUAUUCCCAAGAUAAGAUUUCCUUUGGACUUCGGUCCAUGAAGGAACCUGGAAGACUACCAGGUUGAUAGGUCGGAUGUGUAAGUGUAGUAAUACAUUGAGCUAACCGAUACUAAUGAUCCGAAACAUUUGA